rnacentral:rRNA from 1 species
UACGGAGGGUGCGAGCGUUGUCCGGAAUCACUGGGCGUAAAGGGCGCGUAGGCGGCGCGAGCAGUCGGCGGUGAAAGCCCGGAGCUCAACUCCGGGUCGGCCGUCGAUACUCUCGUGCUUGAGCACUGUAGAGGCAGGUGGAAUUCCGGGUGUAGCGGUGAAAUGCGCAGAUAUCAGGAGGAACACCGGUGGCGAGGGCGGGUCUCUGGGCCGAUAUUGACGCUGAGGAGCGAAAGCGUGGGGAGCGAACAGG